rnacentral:tRNA from 1 species
GUCUUAGUAGUUUACAAAAAACAUUGGUCUUGUAAACCAAAAAUAAAAUUUAUUUUUCUAAGGCU